GAUGAACGCUAGCUACAGGCUUAACACAUGCAAGUCGAGGGGAAACGACAUCGAAAGCUUGCUUUUGAUGGGCGUCGACCGGCGCACGGGUGAGUAACGCGUAUCCAACCUGCCCAUCACUUGGGAAUAACCUUGCGAAAGUAAGACUAAUACCCAAUGAUAUCCCACGAAGGCAUCGGAAUGGGAUUAAAGAUUUAUCGGUGAUGGAUGGGGAUGCGUCUGAUUAGCUUGUUGGCGGGGUAACGGCCCACCAAGGCAACGACCAGUAGGGGUUCUGAGAGGAAGGUCCCCCACAUUGGAACUGAGACACGGUCCAAACUCCUACGGGAGGCAGCAGUGAGGAAUAUUGGUCAAUGGGCGAGGGCCUGAACCAGCCAAGUAGCGUGCAGGAAGACGGCCCUAUGGGUUGUAAACUGCUUUUAUAAGGGAAUAAAGUGGGUCACGUGUGACUUUUUGCAUGUACCUUAUGAAUAAGGACCGGCUAAUUCCGUG
rnacentral:rRNA from 1 species